UGAACGGCAGCAUCCCAAAGAGCAAGUCCCUCUUCCUCCCUCUGUCACCACUCAAUACUCUCUCUCUCUCUCAGAUACACUCCACUUCCUCCUCUUGUUUCUGCAACUCGGUAGGAUCCCACAACUCUUCCGCUAUCUCUCUCUCUAUGGCCCUCGCAAAAGAUCGAACUCGACAAGGUCCACCAGCGUGUCCACUUGACGGAGGAGGGCCAUCAAUUCAAGAGCUUAGACUUCCUUCUUCGCUCGAGUUGUUCGGCUAUCUGGGGGACGGCAGCACGCUUCUCCGUGAUGGAGAAAGCUCUGAUUCCCGCGGGAGCUAUUCGAGCAGCCUUCUUUCUUUCCACUCGGACCCUAGGAACUCGGAUAGCUGCGCGUACAAUAUGCUCGGUUCGGUGAUUUCUCCGCCACAAGAAUCCCUCUCCGUCGUCGCAUCCCAACGGUCCUGGGCCUGCUUCGACACUUCGGUGCUUAGUUUCGAUGGUCACCUGAACCUUGAUCACGAGGAGGAAUGCGCCGCUUGGAUCGAUGCCAUGGAUCGAAGUUAUCAGCCGAAUCACCUGGAUAUCAAGCGUGGAACUGCUGAUUCCAGGCUAAUUCAGGAGAAAGACUGUUUCGAGGUAGGAAGCGGGAAUAAGCGUCGAGGUCAAGAUCGGUUUGGGUUUAUAUACUCCGGUGCCGCAGCUUUCGAUGGCCUUCAAGAAAGCAUUGGGCAAACAACGGUCCUCCAAAAACGCUCGAGCACGAAUUCAUGUAAUGUGCAAAGUCCCAAGAAGCAGUGCGGUACUCCCAGGAGGACCAAAGACAAGUCUACUAGUCCAUCCAAAGAUCCACAACAGAGUAUCGCAGCAAAGAACCGGAGGGAACGGAUCAGUGAGCGGCUCAAAAUUCUUCAAGAUCUCGUUCCCAAUGGCACAAAGGUUGAUUUGGUAACCAUGCUGGAGAAGGCGAUUAGCUACGUGAAGUUCCUGCAGUUGCAAGUGAAGGUGUUGGCGACCGAUGAGUUAUGGCCGGGACAAGGCGGAAAACCACCAGAUGUUGGGCAAGUAAAGGAAGCCAUCGAUGCCAUCUUAUCCUCUCAUGGAGAUAGGAACUCUCAACUCCGGCUCUAACCAACCAGUGAACUCUAAAUUAGGAGCAAGCCAGCCAACCAAUUAUUCUGACUUCCCCUUUUUGAUCUCCUUUUCUAAUUCAUACCACCGUCUGUCUGUCGACACACAUCAUUCGGAAAUAAUGUCAACCGAACCAAACUGCAAGAAUUUGAGUUCCGAACUUGUCACAAGUAUAAUAAUAAGAAAUCUUGUCUUUUGUUUGUAGAAAACACACAACUUCCUCCUACAUAUGAUGAGGUCACCAACCAUUGCUACAUCCAUAGCUGAAUGUACAACUAUUAAUCAGGAUAUUGAUCUACCUAAUUAUAAUAAUAUAGGUAAGCUUCAAGAUCACAUAUACGACGACUGACAAGGGCUAAAUGUCAACUUGAAAACAAAUCACCCGAGCAGAAAAAUAUAUCUUCUAUCUUUUGACCUUUUAUCAAUUUAGGAUAAGAAUAUGCAUGGGAGGCGUACCAGUAGUAAUAGGCCAUGAGAGGAGGUGGAAUAACUCACGGAGCAGUGCGUGGUCGAUGUAGGUUUGCCAAAAUAAUUUUGUUUAAUCAUCUCAAAGAUCAAGAUAAGUAAUACUAUAAGAUUGACCCACAUGUUCACAUCCACCAUCUGCUAUUAAAUCUAAUCCGAUCAAGUCAUUUCGACAACAAAUAUCAUACAAGAUGACGGAGCAUAAAGUUUGCUAAACAAAAGUUCAUGUUCUUGCGAUCCUCCUGGUGGUGAGAUCUACGUAAAAGUCCGUAUGUAGCUCUCCCACACGCGCACACCCUUUAAUUAUUUGUAGUAUAGAGAGGAUUAUGGGCAUUUGCCAACGCCUUCUUCGUUUUGUCUUCUUAGCAUUUACUCUUACGAUUAGUGAAACUUGUUGUUAGAUUUAACAGUAAUCAGUGAGAUUGUCAUGACAAGGAUAGCAAGUAAGAUUAGACACUACUGAUCGUAAAGGAUCGUACAUGUCCCAGCAUUCCGAUAUUUAUAAAAGUUAAACAUUUUCAAUAUAUCGAUCCUUGUAUUUUCAAAUGUUAUAUUGAGAUUCCUAUACUUAUCAAAGUGAAACAUUAAGAUCACUUUUGUAUUACACUUAUCAUGCACCUGAAAUUUAAACUCUGCUACGUGAUUAACAGAUCGAGCCUUCUAUGUUUCAAGAGAACCUUCUCGGAGAUCAGCUCCAACCUCAUAGGAUUUUUCAGACCCCUUCAUCACAAACCUAUGCCAUUGUAAAUUUUUCAGAUCAAUCCAAUGCAAAUGAUUGUAAUUUUUUUGAUUAUCCUAUCGGAGAUGGUUUGAAGGUACAGAAAAAAAAACAGAGUUAUGAUGACAACAAAUAAAAAUAAAAGAAAAAAGACACCGAUCGGAAAAACCCAAAAUAAAUGACUUCUCUUGGAAAAUUUCCACUAUGUUUUAUUGUUCUAAUUAGUUCUUUUAUUCGAGAAAUCAUACUCGAUCUAAUUUAGUCACGAGAUGAGCGGUGCAACUCAGUCGCAGCGCCGCGUCAGGCCUCGGAACCCUAAAACCACACCCUUUUGGUCCGUUGCCCCCUUUCGUUUCUCCCGGCUCCUCUCGUAUGGAUAGCUUCAUUUGAUUGCUCGCUCCCCCGGCGAUUGGACCUCCCGGGUUGGAAUCAGUAUGGCAGAAGAGUUCAUGCAUAAGAAUAGGUUGCAAGAAUAUACACAAAGAUCUUCUAUCACCUUGCCACUAUAUCAGACUAUAAAUGAGGGAACGCCGCAUUCGCCUGAGUUCAGGUCUACUGUAAUCGUGGAUGGGAAAAAUUUCACUUCCCCUUGCACAUUUCCGACCAAAAAGGCAGCCGAACAAUGUGCAGCAAAAUUUGCCCUUGAGGGCAUCCGUAUUAUCAACAAGAACAAGGGCUUGUCUCUCAUCCAUAAUGAUACCAUUCUCUGUAAACUUAUCCUGCAUGAAUAUUCUGUGAAGAUGAACAUGAACCUGCCAACAUAUGAGACUUCUCACAAGCCAGGGCUGAUUCCAGCCUUCGUCUCUUCUGUUUUGUUUGAUAACAAGACAUUUAAAGGUGAAACUGCACUGAGCAAAAAAGAGGCAGAAAGGGUUGCUGCUUGCACUGUUAUUAAAUAUAUUCUAGGAAACUGUGAUACAGGAGAUAUUAUGAGACAAAUCAUAGAAUCAAAGAAUAAACAUUACGCUGUGGUGCAUAGAGGGAAAGGAUCAUGCUCAUCCCUGGCUAGAAAUGAAGAGACAAGUGGUCCCAGUAGUAGUAUCCAAGAAAAUAAAAUGUUGGCUCCCUUGUUUUAUGACAUUCCACAUGCUGUUGCAUAUUCUGAGGCAUUUGCUUCAGUACCUGCUAACACUGCAGCAGCAGAUUCUAUUUGUUCAGCCAAGGAGGAAUAUGCAGGUAAACAAUGUUCUGCCUUGAUUGAGAGUUGGAACUCUUUGUCAACUCCAACCGUAACAGUUAUAGCAGGUGGAUCAACAAAUGGUGCUUCCGGAACUGACUUUGUUGUGCCUCACAUGCCGCUUCCUAUUCAAGGGAAAGCUGAAGUACCAUCUGAUGACCCAACUAGCCACGCCCGAGAUGUGGUUCCUAUUUCAAGUAAAGGGCGUUCCAGGGAAAAGAAUGAAGAACAGUGCCAGUUAAAGAAAGCUCGAGUAGAUGGACAGUCACAGUUUGAACCAUGUGCUCAACAUUCAGGGAAUUUGGUCAUCAUCGAUAUCUGAAGAGACUUGGUCAUUUCUGGCUGAGAAAGAAAGACGAUGCAGCUGUUUCAAGGCUUUGGAUCUGCUCUACGAGGAUGUGUGCCUUCUUUCUUGUGUACAUAUGAAGGAACAACCAAAUCUUGUUGUGUUAUUAAUAGAACUGGCAUUGAAUACUGUCUAA